rnacentral:rRNA from 1 species
UACAGAGGUCUCAAGCGUUGUUCGGAUUCAUUGGGCGUAAAGGGUGCGUAGGCGGCGCGGUAAGUCGGGGUGUGAAAUCUCGGAGCUUAACUCCGAAACUGCAUUCGAUACUGCCGUGCUUGAGGACUGGAGAGGAGACUGGAAUUUACGGUGUAGCGGUGAAAUGCGUAGAUAUCGUAAGGAAGACCAGUGGCGAAGGCGGGUCUCUGGACAGUUCCU